GUGGGGAAUAUUGGACAAUGGGCGAAAGCCUGAUCCAGCCAUGCCGCGUGUGUGAAGAAGGUCUUCGGAUUGUAAAGCACUUUAAGUUGGGAGGAAGGGCAGUAAGUUAAUACCUUGCUGUUUUGACGUUACCGACAGAAUAAGCACCGGCUAAUUUCGUGCCAGCAGCCGCGGUAAUACGAAGGGUGCAAGAGUUAAUCGGAAUUACUGGGCGUAAAGCGCGCGUAGGUGGUUUUGUAAGUUGGAGGUGAAAUCCCCGGGAUCAACCUGGGAACUGCAUCCAAAACUGCAUGACUAGAGUACGGUAGAGGGUAGUGGAAUUUCCUGUGUAGCGGUGAAAUGCGUAGAUAUAGGAAGGAACACCAGUGGCGAAGGCGACUACCUGGACUGAUACUGACACUGAGGUGCGAAAGCGUGGGGAGCAAACAGGAUUAGAUACCCUUGUAGUCC
rnacentral:rRNA from 1 species